rnacentral:rRNA from 1 species
AGCGUAAAGAAUUUAUUUUAGGUGAAUUCUGCCCAGCGAAAAAAUUUUAGCGGCCGCAGUACCUUGACUGUGCUAAGGUAGCAUAAUCAAUUGGUUUUUAAUUGAAGUCUGGAAUGAAUGGAAUAAUGGGAUUUAUCUGUCUUUUUUUUGGUUUUUUGAAAUUAGUUAUUAAGUGAAAAUACUUAUAUUAAGAAAAAAGACGAGAAGACCCUAAGAAUUUUAAUUAAAAAAUUUUUUUAAUUUUAUAUUUUUGUUGGGGCGACAUUGAAACAUUUUAAACUUUCUGUUUUUCAUUUCAUUUAGGUUGAAAAGGAUAAAUUACCUUAGGGAUAACAGCAUAAUAAUUUAUUUGUUUGUGACCUCGAUGUUGGACUAGGAACUAUAUGACUAAUCGUUAAAAUAGAUUGUUCUGUUCGAACAAAUACUCCU